AUGUCAUCUCCAUGUUUUGGGAGGCCCAUCUGGUUAGUUCAACUAUCACUGCUGGAAGCCCCUGCGGUUGUUCGGCUGCAUAGAUGUUUGCCGGGGGAGAUUGGUGCUCCUGAGGGGGGUCUGCGUUCACUAUUAAGCCUACGCCCGUCCAUUCCUUUAAAGCUUUAUCCCGCCCUUAGACUCGUUACGCUUAACACCCACUUACUGAAAGACUUGUUGGCUUCGUGCUCUAUUCGGUCGGAACCCGGUUUGAGAACCUUCUCUCAUAGAUUCCUUUCACCAAGUCAUCGCCAACAAUCAGCUUUUAUCCCUUGGUGUGGUGUCAGCGAGUUCCUUUCUUUUCUUGCCCAAAAACUUUCUUGA